rnacentral:rRNA from 1 species
AGUAAAUUAAUGAAUAAUAAAACAUUGUUAUAGUAAAUUAGUACUGUCAAGGAAUAGAUGAAAUAAUUUAAAAAUAAAUUUUGGAAAAGUAUGUUUAAAUUUCAGUACCUUUUGUAUCAGGGUUAAUCAAAUAUAUUAAUUUAUAUUUAAAUCUCGAUUUCAAAUGAGCUAAAAUCUUAUUUUAGUUAAUGUUUCAUAAUUAUUAAUAAUAAAAUUUUAGGGGAGAAAUUUUAUUCGACUUUGAAGGUAUCUAGUUUUUUAAGAAAUAAAUUUAAUUUAGUAUCAUUAAUUAAUUUUUAUAUUAUAGUAUAUAAUUAUUUAAUGAUAAAAAAAUUAUAGGGGAUAAGCUCUAUUUUUAUCUAUAAAUAUUAUUCUUAAAUUAAUUUUUGUAGGGUUAAAAUUAUCCAUCAAUAGAAAGUGUGUUAUAAUUUAUAUUAAUAUUUAAUUAAUUUUAUUUAUUUUAGAUUACUAUUAAAAUAUCAUAAUUAAUUAUUCAUUAUGAGUAAUAAUGAUUAAAUUAGUAUAAUAAAUUGUCCAUAUAAUUGAAUCUUUUAUGAUAAAAUAAGGAACUCGGCAAAUAUAAUUCUCGCCUGUUUAACAAAAACAUGUCCUUUUGAAUUUAAUUGAAGGUCUGACCUGCCCAGUGAUUAAUUUAACGGCCGCGGUAUACUGACCGUGCAAAGGUAGCAUAAUCAUUAGUCUUUUAAUAGAGGGCUGGAAUGAAAGGUUUGACGAGGAAUUGACUGUCUCAUUUUAUUUGUUUUAGAAUUUAAUUUUUUAGUCAAAAAGCUAAAAUGUAGUUGGAAGACGAGAAGACCCUAUAGAUCUUUAUAUAAUGUUAUUUAAUUAUUUUAAUAUUAAUAUAUUUAAAUUAUGAUUAUAUUUUGUUGGGGUGACAAAAAUAUAUAAUUAACUUUUUUAUCUAUUUACCAUUGAUAAAUGUAUAUUAGAUCCAUUCAUAGUGAUUGAUAGAAUAAGUUACCUUAGGGAUAACAGCGUAAUCCUCCUCCAGAGUUCAUAUUUACAGGAUGGGCUUGCGACCUCGAUGUUGGAUUAAGAUAAUAAUUAGGUGUAGCCGCUUAAUUUAUAGGUCUGUUCGACCUUUAAAUUCUUACAUGAUCUGAGUUCAGACCGGUUUAAGCCAGGUCGGUUUCUAUCUCCAAUUUAGAUUAACUUUUAGUACGAAAGGACCAAGGUUAUGAAAUAAUUUCUUUUUAUUGAUUAAUAUUAACUAUUUUGGCAGAAAAGUGCCAUGAAUUUAGAAUUCAUAAAUGUAAGUUAAUCUU